CCUACGUGUGGCAGCAGUGGGGGAUAUUGGACAAUGGGGGAAACCCUGAUCCAGCGACGCCGCGUGAGUGAAGAAGUAUUUCGGUAUGUAAAGCUCUAUCAUCAGGGAAGAAAGAAAUGACGGUACCUGAGUAAGAAGCCCCGGCUAACUACGUGCCAGCAGCAGCUGUAAUACGUCGGGGGCAAGCGUUAUCCGGAGUUACUGGGUGUAAAGGGAGCGUAGACGGUAAUGCAAGUCUGGGGUGAACGUCGGGGGCCAAACACCCGGAAUAUUCUGGAAACGGUGUAACUGGAUUGCAGGAGAGGCAGGCGGAAUUCCUAGUGUAGCGGUGAAAUGCGUAGAUAUUAGGAGGAACACCAGUGGCGAAGGCGGGCUGCUGGACGACUACUGACGGUGAGGCGCGAAAGCGUGGGGAGCAAACAGGAUUAGAUACCCUAGUAGUC
rnacentral:rRNA from 1 species